rnacentral:rRNA from 1 species
AGAGUUUGAUCCUGGCUCAGAUUGAACGCUGGCGGUAUGCUUAACACAUGCAAGUCGAACGGCAGCACGAGGAAAGUUUACUUUCUUCGGUGGCGAGUGGCGGACGGGUGAGUAAUACAUAGGAAUCUACCUUUUAGUCUAGGAUAACUACCCGAAAGGGUGGCUAAUACUGGAUGUGGACUACGGUUUAAAGCAGGGGACCUUCGGGCCUUGCGCUAAGAGAUGAGCCUAUGUGGGAUUAGCUAGUUGGUGAGGUAAUGGCUCACCAAGGCGACGAUCUCUAGCUGGUUUGAGAGGAUGAUCAACCACACUGGGACUGAGACACGGCCCAGACUCCUACGGGAGGCAGCAGUGGGGAAUAUUGGACAAUGGGCGAAAGCCUGAUCCAGCAAUACCGCGUGUGUGAAGAAGGCCCUAGGGUUGUAAAGCACUUUUGUUAGGGAGAACGGGUGUUACGGUUAAUAACCAUAGUAUCUGAUGUACCUAAAGAAUAG